rnacentral:rRNA from 1 species
GACGAACGCUGGCGGCGUGCUUAACACAUGCAAGUCGAACGGAAAGGCCCCUUUGGGGGUUCUCGAGUGGCGAACGGGUGUGUAACACGUGAGUAACCUGCCCUUGACUUCGGGAUAACUUCAGGAAACUGGGGCUAAUACCGGAUAGGAAUCCUUGCUGCAUGGUGGGGGUUGGAAAGCUUCGGCGGUUUUGGAUGGACUCGCGGCUUAUCAGCUUGUUGGUGGGGUAGUGGCUUACCAAGGCUUUGACGGGUAGCCGGCCUGAGAGGGCGACCGGCCACAUUGGGACUGAGAUACGGCCCAGACUCCUACGGGAGGCAGCAGUGGGGAAUAUUGCACAAUGGGCGGAAGCCUGAUGCAGCAACGCCGCGUGCGGGAUGACGGCCUUCGGGUUGUAAACCGCUUUCAGCAGGGGCGAAGCUUGUGGUGACGGUACCUGCAGAAGAAGCACCGGCUAACUACGUG